UACGGAGGGGGCUAGCGUUGUUCGGAAUUACUGGGCGUAAAGCGCGCGUAGGCGGCUUUGUAAGUUAGAGGUGAAAGCCCGGAGCUCAACUCCGGAACUGCCUUUAAGACUGCAUCGCUAGAAUUGUGGAGAGGUAAGUGGAAUUCCGAGUGUAGAGGUGAAAUUCGUAGAUAUUCGGAAGAACACCAGUGGCGAAGGCGACUUACUGGACACGUAUUGACGCUGAGGUGCGAAAGCGUGGGGAGCAAACAGG
rnacentral:rRNA from 1 species